rnacentral:rRNA from 1 species
UACGUAGGGGGCGAGCGUUGUCCGAAGUUACUGGGCGUAAAGAGCGCGUAGGCUGGUCUUUAAGUGAGUGGUGAAAGGUUCGGGCUCAACCCGGACACUGCCUUUCAUACUGGGGACCUUGAGUGUGGGAGAGGCGAGUGGAAUGGUCGGUGUAGCGGUGAAAUGCGUAGAUAUCGAUCGGAACACCCAUGGCGAAGGCAGCUCGCUGGCCUAACACUGACGCUGAGGCGCGAAAGCGUGGGGAGCAAACAGGAUUAGAUACCCUGGUAGUCCACGCCGUAAACGAUGAGUGCUAGAUGUAAGGGGUAUCGACCCCCCUUGUGUCGCAGCUAACGCAAUAAGCACUCCGCCUGGGGAGUACGGCCGCAAGGUUGAA